rnacentral:rRNA from 1 species
AUUGAACGCUGGCGGCAGGCCUAACACAUGCAAGUCGAGCGGGGUUUUCGGACCUAGCGGCGGACGGGUGAGUAAUGCGUAGGAAGCUACCCGAUAGAGGGGGAUACCAGUUGGAAACGACUGUUAAUACCGCAUAAUGUCUACGGACCAAAGUGUGGGACCUUCGGGCCACAUGCUAUCGGAUGCGCCUACGUGGGAUUAGCUAGUUGGUGGGGUAAUGGCCCACCAAGGCGACGAUCCCUAGCUGGUUUGAGAGGAUGAUCAGCCACACUGGAACUGAGACACGGUCCAGACUCCUACGGGAGGCAGCAGUGGGGAAUAUUGGACAAUGGGCGCAAGCCUGAUCCAGCCAUGCCGCGUGUGUGAAGAAGGCCUUCGGGUUGUAAAGCACUUUCAGUAGGGAGGAAGGAUGUUGUGUUAAUAGCACAGCAUUUUGACGUUACCUACAGAAGAAGCACCGGCUAACUCUGUGCCAGCCGCCGCAGUAACAC